rnacentral:tRNA from 1 species
AGAAAGGUGGCCGAGUGGUCGAAGGCGCACGCCUGGAAAGUGUGUAUACGGCAACGUAUCGAGGGUUCGAAUCCCUUCCUUUCUGC